rnacentral:siRNA from 1 species
GGUGACCCAAUUGUUUGGGCC